rnacentral:tRNA from 1 species
AUCCAGGGGCGGGAAUCGAACCCACAACCUUCCGCUUACCGGGCAGAUGCCAUGUCCACUAGGCUACCCUGGA